rnacentral:rRNA from 1 species
CGGACGGGUGAGUAAUGUCUGGGAAACUGCCCGAUGGAGGGGGGAUAACUACUGGAAACGGUAGCUAAUACCGCAUAACGUCGCAAGACCAAAGAGGGGGACCUUCGGGCCUCUUGCCAUCGGAUGUGCCCAGAUGGGAUUAGCUAGUAGGUGGGGUAAAGGCUCACCUAGGCGACGAUCCCUAGCUGGUCUGAGAGGAUGACCAGCCACACUGGAACUGAGACACGGUCCAGACUCCUACGGGAGGCAGCAUG